rnacentral:rRNA from 1 species
GGGCGAGUAACGCGUGAGGAACCUGCCUCAAAGAGGGGGACAACAGUUGGAAACGACUGCUAAUACCGCAUAAGCCCACGACCCGGCAUCGGGUAGAGGGAAAAGGAGCAAUCCGCUUUGAGAUGGCCUCGCGUCCGAUUAGCUAGUUGGUGAGGUAACGGCCCACCAAGGCGACGAUCGGUAGCCGGACUGAGAGGUUGAACGGCCACAUUGGGACUGAGACACGGCCCAGACUCCUACGGGAGGCAGCAGUGGGGAAUAUUGCACAAUGGGGGAAACCCUGAUGCAGCGACGCCGCGUGGAGGAAGAAGGUCUUCGGAUUGUAAACUCCUGUUGUUGAGGAAGAUAAUGACGGUACUCAACAAGGAAGUGACGGCUAACUACGUGCCAGCAGCCGCGGUAAAACGUAGGUCACAAGCGUUGUCCGGAAUUACUGGGUGUAAAGGGAGCGCAGGCGGGAAGACAAGUUGGAAGUGAAAUCCAUGGGCUCAACCCAUGAACUGCUUUCAAAACUGUUUUUCUUGAGUAGUGCAGAGGUAGGCGGAAUUCCCGGUGUAGCGGUGGAAUGCGUAGAUAUCGGGAGGAACACCAGUGGCGAAGGCGGCCUACUGGGCACCAACUGACGCUGAGGCUCGAAAGUGUGGGUAGCAAACAGGAUUAGAUACCCUGGUAGUCCACACUGUAAACGAUGAUUACUAGGUGUUGGAGGAUUGACCCCUUCAGUGCCGCAG